GAGGAUAUAGCUGAAGCACUAGAGCACAUGCUUAACAUGCAUGAGGUCCUGGGUUCAAACCCCAGUACCUCCU
rnacentral:tRNA from 1 species